rnacentral:rRNA from 1 species
UACGUAGGUGACAAGCGUUGUCCGGAUUUACUGAGCGUAAAGAGCGCGCAGGCGGUCGUUCAAGUCGAGUGUGAAAGCCCCCGGCUCAACUGGGGAGGGUCAUUCGAUACUGAUCGACUCGAAGGCAGGAGAGGGUAGUGGAAUUCCCGGUGUAGUGGUGAAAUGCGUAGAUAUCGGGAGGAACACCAGUGGCGAAGGCGACUACCUGGCCUGUUCUUGACGCUGAGGCGCGAAAGCUAGGGGAGCAAACGGG